rnacentral:misc_RNA from 1 species
UAAUAAGUGUUUUAUGGCACUUUUUAAAUCCAUAUCCACCUUGUGUGCAAUGUCAGUCGAUCUUCUUCAUGGAGAUCGACCAAACAUCAACCUUUAUCUUUUAACUCUUUGUCUGAAAAAAUAUUAUGAAUAAACAAUUCAAAAUA